AUCUUCCGCAAUGGACGCAAGUCUGACGGAGCAACGCCGCGUGAGUGAGGAAGGUUUUCGGAUCGUAAAACUCUGUUGUUAGAGAAGAACAAGUACCGUUUGAACAAGGCGGUACCUUGACGGUACCUAACGAGAAAGCCCCGGCUAACUACGUGCCAUCAGCCGCGGUAAUACGUAGGGGGCGAGCGUUGUCCGGAAUUACUGGGCGUAAAGGGUACGUAGGCGGCUAUAUAAGUCAUGUGUGAAAUACCAGUGCUUAACACUGGAAUUGCAUUUGAAACUGUGUAGCUUGAGUGCAGGAGAGGAAAGUGGAAUUCCUAGUGUAGCGGUGAAAUGCGUAGAGAUUAGGAGGAACACCAGUGGCGAAGGCGACUUUCUGGACUGUAACUGACGCUGAGGUACGAAAGCGUGGGUAGCGAACA
rnacentral:rRNA from 1 species